rnacentral:rRNA from 1 species
UGGGGAAUAUUGCACAAUGGGGGGAACCCUGAUGCAGCAAUGCCGCGUGAAGGAUGAAGGUUUUCGGAUUGUAAACUUCUUUUGUACGGGACGAAGAAAGUGACGGUACCGUAAGAAUAAGCCACGGCUAACUACGUGCCAGCAGCCGCGGUAAUACGUAGGUGGCAAGCGUUAUCCGGAUUUACUGGGUGUAAAGGGCGAGUAGGCGGGAUUGCAAGUCAGAUGUGAAAACUAUGGGCUCAACCGAUAGAGUGCAUUUGAAACUGCAGUUCUUGAGUGAUGGAGAGGCAGGCGGAAUUCCCG